AGGCAUCCCGGGGGACAAACGCUGGGUCGUCCUGAGUCGCUCCCACUCGCCAGGUCCCAUAACCUUGAAGACUGCCAGACUUCCCCAGCCGAAGCAUCGCACCCUGGUGCUCGAGGCGGCAGGUUCCUUGAGAUCCAGGGCCAUGUGUUAUCCGUUUUGAUGUCCCCAGUGUCAGACUUAAUGCCUGGGAACACAAUAGGAAAUUCAAUCAAUGUGGAGCUGCUGAACUAUUGAACCACGAGGUAGAGCUUUUGAGGGUGACCGAUCGUUAUUGCCUUUAGAAAAGCAAGAUUGGUGGGUUACACCCACACAGAGCCAAGUUAGACUAUUUUCUGGAAUUUGUUUAACCCGGGAUAGACUGGGAGCUCCAUGAGGUCUGAGACAACCUGAAGAUGCCCAGCUCAGCAGAGACUGGCUACGGCAAUCACUCAGUAACUGUUUGUUGAAUUGGACAUAAUAGAAGAGUUGAAGAAUUUUAAACAAGUCACCAUCAGUCCAGUGGAUUCCUCAAAGCAAACCUGGAAAUCUCGGCAUGAGUUGGAUUUAAGGCAGUACAUUUUCAGCUCCUGAAAAUUUGAACAGUUUCUCAAGAGAACAACUUGAAACAGAAAGGCAAGGAUGUAGAUGUGGUUGUAGAAGAUGAUGUCUGCGGCCACCAAACUGUCCACUGUGAAGAUAAACCAUGCAUGUUUAGUAGGCAGUGGCUCCUCUUCCC
rnacentral:antisense_RNA from 1 species